AGUGAACGCUGGCGGUAGGCCUAACACAUGCAAGUCGAACGGCAGCACAGUAAGAGCUUGCUCUUACGGGUGGCGAGUGGCGGACGGGUGAGGAAUACAUCGGACUCUACUUUUUCGUGGGGGAUAACGUAGGGAAACUUACGCUAAUACCGCAUACGACCUACGGGUGAAAGCAGGGGAUCUUCGGACCUUGCGCGAUUGAAUGCGCCGAUGUCGGAUUAGCUAGUUGGCGGGGUAAAGGCCCACCAAGGCGAGGAUCCGUAGCGGGUCUGAGAGGAUGAUCAGCCACACUGGAACUGAGACACGGUCCAGACUCCUACGGGAGGCAGCAGUGGGGAAUAUUGGACAAUGGGCGCAAGCCUGAUCCAGCCAUACCGCGUGGGUGAAGAAGGCCCUCGGGUUGUAAAGCCCUUUUGUUGGGAAAGAAAAGCAGCAGGUUAAUACCCCGCUGUUCUGACGGUACCCAAAGAAUAAGCACCGGCUAACUUCGUG
rnacentral:rRNA from 1 species